rnacentral:tRNA from 1 species
GGGAAGAUAACGUUGGUAGUUUACCCGCCUUGGACGCGGGAGGUUGUAGGUUCGAAUCCUGCUUCUCA